rnacentral:rRNA from 1 species
AGAAUCAACGCUGGCGGCGUGCCUAACACAUGCAAGUCGAACGAGAAAGGGGAGCAAUCCCUGAGUACAGUGGCGACCGGGUGAGUAACACGUGACUAACCUACCCUCGAGUGUGGAAUAACAUCGGGAAACCGAUGCUAAUACCGCAUAACAUCGCAAGAUCAAAGGAGUAAUCCGCUUGAGGAGGGGGUCGCGGCUGAUUAGCUAGUUGGCGGGGUAAUGGCCCACAAGGCGAAGAUCGGUAUCCGGCCUGAGAGGGCGCACGGACACACUGGAACUGAAACACGGUCCAGACUCCUACGGGAGGCAGCAGUGGGGAAUUUUGCGCAAUGGGGGAAACCCUGACGCAGCAACGCCGCGUGGAGGAUGAAGCCCCUUGGGGCGUAAACUCCUUUCGACCAAGACGAUAAUGACGGUACUGGUGGAAGAAGCACCGGCUAACUCUGUGCCAGCAGCCGC